rnacentral:rRNA from 1 species
GCUUAACAAGGAAAUUGCCAUUGAAACUGUUAGACUUGAGAAUGGACGAGGUAGGCGGAAUUCGUAGUGUAGCGGUGAAAUGCAUAGAUAUUACGAAGAACUCCAAUAGUGUAGACUGCUUACCAGACCAUAUCUGACACUAAGGCACGAAAGUGUGGGUAUCAAACAGGAUUAGAUACCCUGGUAGUCCACACAGUAAACGAUGAAUACUAACUGUUUGCGAUAUACAGCAAGUGGUCGAGCGAAAGCGUUAAGUAUUCCACCUGGGAAGUAUGCCGGCAACGGUGAAACUCAAAGGAAUUGACGGGGGCCCGCACAAGCGGAGGAACAUGUGGUUUAAUUCGAUAAUACGCGAGGAACCUUACCCGGGCUCGAACGAUAUUUGAAUACAUCCGAAAGGAUGUAGCUAGCAAUAGCAAAUACCGAGGUGCUGCAUGGUUGUCGUCAGCUCGUGCCGUGAGGUGUCGACUUAAGUGUCAUAACGAGCGCAACCCUUACCGAUAGUUACCAUCAGAUAAUGCUGGGGACUCUAUUGGGACUGCCACCGUAAGGUGUGAGGAAGGAGAGGAUGACGUCAAAUCAGCACGGCCCUUAUGUCCGGGGCGACACACGUGUUACAAUGGGAGAAACAAAGGGUCGCUACCUGGCAACAGGAUGCUAAUCUCGAAAAUCUCUCUCAGUUCGGAUUGGAGUCUGCAACUCGACUCCAUGAAGCUGGAUUCGCUAGUAAUCGCACAUCAGCCAUGGUGCGGUGAAUACGUUCCCGGGCCUUGUACACACCGCCCGUCAAGCCAUGGAAGCUGGAAGUACCUGAAGUAUGUAACUAAAAGAGCGUCCUAAGUAAU